rnacentral:rRNA from 1 species
UACGGGGGAGCAAGCGUUGUUCGGAUUUACUGGGCGUAAAGGGCGCGUAGGCGGCCAGCACAAGUCAGUUGUGAAAUCUCCGAGCUUAACUCGGAAAGGUCAACUGAUACUGUGCGGCUAGAGUGGCGGAAGGGCAACGUGGAAUUCUUGGUAGUAGCGGUGAAAUGCGUAGAUAUCAAGAGGAACACCUGCGGCGAAGGCGGGUUGCUGGCCGACACUGACGCUGAGGCGCGAAAGCCAGGGAGGCGAACGGG